UACAGAGGGUGCAAGCGUUGUUCGGAAUUAUUGGGCGUAAAGGGCGCGUAGGCGGUUCGGCAAGUCUCUAGUGAAAUCUCUGGGCUCAACUCAGAGUCUGCUGGGGAAACUGCCGGGCUUGAGUGUGGGAGAGGAGAGUGGAAUUCCCGGUGUAGCGGUGAAAUGCGUAGAUAUCGGAAGGAACACCUGUGGCGAAAGCGGCUCACUGGACCAUAACUGACGCUGAGGCGCGAAAGCUAGGGGAGCAAACAGG
rnacentral:rRNA from 1 species